rnacentral:rRNA from 1 species
UACGGAGGGUGCGAGCGUUGUCCGGAAUCACUGGGCGUAAAGGGCGCGUAGGCGGCGCGGAUAGUCGGCGGUGAAAGCCCGGAGCUCAACUCCGGGUCGGCCGUCGAUACUUCCGGGCUUGAGCACUGUAGAGGCAGAUGGAAUUCCUGGUGUAGCGGUGAAAUGCGCAGAUAUCAGGAGGAACACCAGCGGCGAAGGCGGCGCUCUGGGCCGGUACUGACACUGAGGAGCGAAAGCGUGGGUAGCAAACAGG